rnacentral:rRNA from 1 species
CGCAUCUGUGCAUGCAGCAUAUCAAUAAGCGGAGGAAAAGAAACUAACAAGGAUUCCCCUAGUAACGGCGAGUGAAGCGGGAAGAGCUCAAAUUUGAAAUCUUAAAGGGUUUCCCUUUACGAAUUGUAGUUUAAAGAAGUGUUUUCUGUUGAGGUUUUGGUAAAAGUUCUUUGGAAUAGGACAUCAUAGAGGGUGAGAAUCCCGUAUUUGACCUUUACUUUCAACUUUGUGAUACACUUUCAAAGAGUCGGAUUGUUUGGGAAUGCAGUCCAAAAUGGGUGGUAAAUUUCAUCUAAAGCUAAAUAUUGGCGAGAGACCGAUAGCGAACAAGUACCGUGAGGGAAAGAUGAAAAGAACUUUGAAAAGAGAGUUAAACAGUACGUGGAAAUUGUCAAAAGGGAAGCGUUUGACACCAGUGUCGUUUUUCUGAAAAUCAAUUAAAGAACUGUUUAUGCUAAGCUGUUUAGACUUUAUCAGCUAACUGUUUAGUUUUGAGCUUUUCUUUAAUGCACCUUUCAGUUAACAAGUCAACAUCAAUUUCUUUUGCUGUAAAAAAGCUUGAGGAAGGUGGCUUGAGAUUCGUCUUAAGUGUUUAUAGCCUCUUGCCUAUGCAGUCGGAGAGAUUGAGGUCUGCAGCGUAGAUCCUUCGGGGCUAAAUGCAUUUGUGCUAAGUUAUAGCAUUUUAUAGACAACUUGUUGACUAUGAUUUGUCUUGUAGCUUACUCGCUUAUGUUAUUUUACCUACGCUUAGGAUGUUGAGCGCAUGUCUCUCUCU